rnacentral:rRNA from 1 species
ACAUCCAGAGAAUUUAGCAGAGAUGCUUUAGUGCCUUCGGGAACUCUGAGACAGGUGCUGCAUGGCUGUCGUCAGCUCGUGUUGUGAAAUGUUGGGUUAAGUCCCGCAACGAGCGCAACCCUUAUCCUUUGUUGCCAGCACGUAAUGGUGGGAACUCAAAGGAGACUGCCGGUGAUAAACCGGAGGAAGGUGGGGAUGACGUCAAGUCAUCAUGGCCCUUACGAGUAGGGCUACACACGUGCUACAAUGGCGCAUACAAAGAGAGAAACGACCUCGCGAGAGCAAGCGGACCUCAUAAAGUGCGUCGUAGUCCGGAUUGGAGUCUGCAACUCGACUCCAUGAAGUCGGAAUCGCUAGUAAUCGUAAAUCAGAAUGUUACGGUGAAUACGUUCCCGGGCCUUGUACACACCGCCCGUCACACCAUGGGAGUGGGUUGCAAAAGAAGUAGAUAGCUUAACCUUCGGGAGGGCGUUUACCACUUUGUGAUUCAUGACUGGGGUGAAGUCGUAACAAGGUAAGCGUAGUGCU